UCACAGCACCUCCCUCUUGACACUGCACUCACACACACACAUCUCUGCAUCAGAGGCCCCACGAUGUGUCUUCCCAACCUCAUUGGAAGCACUGAGUGCUGCGAAACACUUCCUCCCUUCUACAGGCGUCUUCCCGGGCAGCCGUGUGCAACAGCCCGUUCGGGGAUGACCCGCACAAAGGGGCCGUGGCCAGGAAACAGAUGGGGCCAAUUCUCUGCAUUUCUCCAUGGAGAUCUACCAUUUCCCUGCAGAUACUGUGUCUGAGAAUGCAACUGGCCUUCUCUCAAGGAAAUCCCACACCCACCACUGGUCUUUGCUGGGGCUCUUGGAGGUGGGCCCAAAAGGCGGGAUCCACAGGAAUACCUUUCGCUGCUCUUCGAGGACACUCAACGGGCUUUUCCAGGGUAGUUGCACCAGUCUGCAUUCCAUGAAUUGUAUACAAAGUCUCCAAUUUUCUGCCUCCUUCCAACGUGGGUCCUGGGUUUGAAUUCCGGGUUUGAUUCCUAGCUACCCUAACAGACAAUGCCACAGCUCAGCAGCCUUUGGAUUUGCAUUGCCCUCACAAUGCCUUACGUUGAGCAUCUUUUCGUACAAUGUCUGUCUACUCAACAAGUAAUUUGUUCCCUUUGCAGCACAGACUAUUCCAGUCUUUUUCUCGAAAACCGGUGAAAUCCCGGUUUUCUUUUGUUUGGUUGGUUUUCUGUUGUUUUCCCUUUCUGUCAGAAAACACACCUUUUCUGAAAUAAGGAUUGCCAAGGGUGUCCCCUACUGUGGGCUGCCUUUUCACUGUUUACUGUUUCAGAAGAGGAUGCUUUUCCUGGGCGGUCCUCUUGGGAAGCAUCAUGAUGCCAACAUGAGGUGUCCACGGGCCUUUAGGGUAGGCCUGGUUUGUCAUCACCACGUGACUCCUUGCACGGCUCCUUGAAGGAUCUUUACCCUCAAAGCUACUCGUGCCUCCCUUGGCCGCUGCCACAUGUCAAAGCUUGGUCUCUUUUGCUCAUGGACUUUCGGGAAUGGUGCACAAGAGAUUCUGCUUCUUUCUUGGCAUGGGCCCAGAACUGGUCAUGCUCAGGACUUGGCGGCCCCAACCGCACUCUCCUGGGCAAGAGAACCGUGACACUAUGUUCUGGUAUGAGCCAGGAGGAGGAAGAAAGGUCUAAAUCCUCUCCCUCAUAACCUCCACUACCAAACCAUCCUGGUUCUCUCCAAGCUGCUGUACCAUCAAGGGGAUGCCCAGAGCUGCAGAAGGAAAAGCAUACUUGCCCUGGAUUCACUACACAGGCUCCCGUAAACCACAGCUUCUGCCAGCCUUCACACCCCAGCCGAGUAUGACCUGUGGACGUGUUCCCAAGGGCGGGACAACCCCAUGCAGCUCCCCUGGAGUACCCCUGUCACGGGCCACGGUCCUCUGGGCCUGUGUGAAUG
rnacentral:lncRNA from 1 species